AUGGUAUUAAAUAAGGGCUUUCCCAAGGAGCUGGCCGAGGCAGUGGAUGGGGGCCAGGUGCUGGUGGUGGGCGCAGGCAACAUGGGCUGGGAUCUCCUUAAGAACCUUGUGCUCACGGCUUCUCUCACAUUGACAUGAUUGAUCUGGACACUACUGUGUCAGGAACCUCAACAGGCAGUUUUUGUUUCAAAAGAACCAUGUUGGACAAUCAAAGGCACAGCAGAGACUAUAAUGUGGAAUUUUCUUGAUAGUUUAUAUUGGUCAUGAAUGCAUUAGAUAACAAAGCUGCAUGAAACCGUGUUAAUAGGAUGUGUUUGGCAGUUGAUGUUCCUCUUAUUGAGAGUGGGACUGCUGGCUGGUCAUAUUAGACAAGUAACUACUAUAAAAAAGGGUGUGACUGAGUGUUAUGAAUGUCAUCCUAAGCCAACCCAGAGAACUUUUCCUGGCUGUAGGAUUCAUAACACACCUUCAGAACCUAUUCAUUGCGUCACAUUGUUUGGGCAAAAUAUUUGUUCAACCCAUUGUUUGGGGAAGAAGAUGCUGAUCAGGAAGUUUCACCUGACAGAGCUGACCCUGAAGCUGCAUGGGAACCAACAGAAGCUGAAGCCAGAGCUCGAGCAUCUAAUGAAGAUGAUGACAUAAAACGUAUUUCCACAAAGGAAUGCGCAAAAUCAACUAGAUAUGAUCCAGUUAAACUUUUAUCAAGCUUUUUAAAGAUGAUAUCAGGUAUCUAUUUGUAGUGGAUCAACUAUGGUGGAAAAGGAAACCUCCUGUUCCAUUGGACUGGGCUGAAGUACAGAGUCAAGGAGAAGAAUCUAAUCCAUCAGAUCAACAAAAUGAACCUCAGCUGGGUCUGAAAGACCAGCAAGUUCUAGAUGUAAAGAGCUAUGCAACUCUUUUUUCAAAGUGCAUUGAUACUUUUGAGAGUUCAUUUAGCAGAAAAAGGAGAUGGAGCUGAGCUCAUAUGGGAUAAGGAUGACCCAUCUGCAAUGGAUUUUAUCACUUCUGCUGCAAAUCUCAGGAUGCAUAUUUUCAGUAUGAAUAUGAAGAGCAGGUUUGAUGUAAAAUCAAUGGCAGGGAACAUUAUUCCUGCUAUUGCUACUACUAAUGCAGUGAUUGCUGGGUUGAUAGUAUUGGAAGGACUGAAGAUUUUAUCAGGAAAAAUAGACCAGUGUAGAACAUUUUUUUGAAUAAACAACCAAACCCAAGAAAGAAGUUGCUUGUGCCUUGUGCACUGGAUCCUCCAACCCCAAUUGUUAUGUGUGUGCCAGCAAGCCAGGGGUGAAUUUAUGACUGAAUGUCCACAAAUUGACUCUUUUCACCUUACAAGAUAAGAUAGUGAAAGAAAAAUUUGCUAUUGUAGCACCAGAUGUCCAAAUUGAAGAUGGGAAAGGAACAAUCCUAAUAUCUUCAGAAGAGGGAGAGACAGAAGCUAAUAAUCAUAAGAAGUUGUCAGAAUUUGGAAUUAGAAAUGGCAGCCGGCUGCAAGCAGAUGAUUUCCUUCAGGACUACACUUUAUUGAUCAUCAUCCUUCAUAGUGAAGACCUAGAAAAGGAUGUUGAAUUUGAAGUUGUUGAUGAUGGCCCAGAAAAAGUGGGGCCCAAACAAAGUAAAGAUGCUGCCAAAAGCAUUACCAAUGGCAGUGAUGAUGGAGCCCAGCCUUCCACCUCUACUACACAAGAGCAAGAUGAUGUACUCAUAGUUGAUUCAGAUGAAGAAGGUCCUUCAAAUAAUGCUGAUGUCAGUGAAGAAAUAAGAAGUCACAAGAGGAAAUUAGACGAGAAGGAGAAUGUCACUGCAAAGAGGUCAUGUACAGAGCAGAUAGAAGAGCUUGAUGAUGUUAUAGCAUUAGAUUGA